rnacentral:rRNA from 1 species
CGUAAACCAAGGCGAUCUACAUACCACUUCGCCCGCCAGAGCAUUACAAGCAAAAAGCUUAAAACUCAAAGGACUUGACGGUGUUGCAAAUCUAUCUAGAGGAGCCUGUCCAAUAAUCGAUAAUCCACGAUAAACCUUACCCACCCUAGCACCCACAGCCUAUAUACCGCCGUCAGCCAUUAAAGCCUACCUUUUGAAAGCACUACGUAAGCAAAAAAGCCUAACCGCUAGCACAUCAGGUCAAGGUGUAGCUAAUGAGUGGGUCAGAGAUGGGCUACACUCCCUAUUAAAGGGCACCAAAAGCCACAUGAAAAUGGGCCUAAAGUUGGAUUUAGCAGUAAAUAUAACAAGAAUGUUUAAUUGAAUUAUGCCCUG